UGGCCGGUCGUCUAAUGGUAGGACACGGGCCUUUGGAGCCCGCUGUGGAGGUUCGAGUCCUCCCCGGCCAGCCA
rnacentral:tRNA from 1 species